AUGCAGCACCAGCAGCGCUGCUUGGGCGGCCGGGUGGGGGCGUGGGGAGCUGCUGUCGAGAAGAUGGGGUGGAGUUUGCAUGGUAAUAUCUUACCCAGGGAUUCUCUCUCUUUCUCUCGAAAGCUCCAGCACAAAGAGGCUUGUACACCAGCCAACAUCUCGCCCAGCCCGGGGUCCCUGCGCCGCGGUGUCUCACGGAAAUCAGAAGCAUCUUUUUGAUCCACAUCAAGAAUAGGGUUUAAGACAGCUGCUAAUGACUGACCUGAGGUCUGUUCACACACAGUCCCCUGCGUGGCCGGAGCAGCAAGACAAGCUGGGGGGUUAUUUUACAGUGUUCUCGUAGCCAGUGGUGCCAGAGACACCAUCUGCCCGAGGGAUGCUCCGUUCCGCUCCCCGGUGGGAUUCCUGAGUCCUGGUGACCCGAUGGCAGUGCCGUGGAGGUGCCCUGGCAAGGAAGGGGCGGCAGUGAGUCACAGCACCUCAGACUGGCACCAUGAUUUGCUGGUUUCUGUUCUUUGCCAUAAAUCCCCAGGAGCCAGUGUGGCUCCAGAGAGGAUCACACUGACUGGGCUGGCGUGUGAGCGUAGCCAUGAGGCAGUCUGCACGGAGCUGUGGGAGCAGCACGCACAGGACACUGCCUAGGGUAUUGCUUAGUGACGACACCUGGAAGAUCUGAACCUGUAGCAAAUGCCACGUGUCAGCCUGUGAGUGUAGACUGCCCGAUAGAUCGCGGCCCAGCGCAUCCCCCGUUUCACAGUGGGAGAGGGCUGUGAGACGGAGCGUGGCUAAGGUUAGCUCUGGGUCUUGCCAGGUCACUUCUCCGAGCCAGUGCAAAUCCCGAUGCCUCGGCCCUUUCACAGAGUUCAUUCCCUGGGAAGGAGAACAAGAGCUAAUGGCUGGGGAACGUUCUAGACGUUUAUGAAUGGGGGUGAUGCCAAAGCAGUUCAUGCUUGUCUGAAACCUCCCCCUGGAAAGAGAAUGGAUUCCUUGGGGCAGUGGGCCAGGAGGGCGGGGCUGGGUUUGCAGCGUCCCUCUGCAGAUUAUCCUCAGGGCUGAGAGGUGCAGGCUACUUCCUUCACCCGAUCGGUAUGAAUGAUGCUGCUUAGCCUUUCUGGCUUGCCGGGGUGUUCGCCACCCCCCUGAGUGAUAGCCCGGGGUGCUAGGAGCCGAGGGGUCACCUGGCCGCGGUGGUAGCGCUGGAAAUUCUGAAUGGGAACUGGUAGUGGUGGGAGGAGCUUAAGGAACAAGUUCACCCUACUGGCCUUUCGUCACCGGCUCAUGCUGUGACUUCUCUCCUUCGGAAAACGUUCCUUUUGUAAAUGGAGCUGAGCCCGGUGGGGGCCAGCGGGUCUGCUCUGAAUUUCCCUGAGCCCCUGGAGCUUGUGUGACUUGAUCUCCUCGUGUCAGCAUGAUAGCUCGGGGCUCAGAGGGACCCGGCUGUCCCUGGGCAGCCUGGCUCCUCCACCACUGUUCGUGCAUUGUCUCUAUCACCUGUAGGUGACAUUCUGGGGCUUUUCUCUGCCAUGCCUGUCCUGUGCAGCGGGUGUCAAGCUGUAAUAAGGGGAGAGUGCGACAGGGAGAUUAGCUUGCCCUGAUGCCUGUCUGCUGGGCUGUGUGUUUAAAAACCUGUCAGCCUCCAAGAGCAAUGUGGAGCACCCAGGAUUAAAUGCCACUUCUCAGAACUCCCCUGAGCCACAUUCCUCCAUCACCGGUAAAUGUAACAACUCCAGCCCUUUCCUGCUGCUGGGAGGUGGGUGGGAAUGCGCCCCAGGGAGGUCAGAGAGCAGCUCCCGCUGGCGGGGUGCUGGGGUGGGACUUGCAGGUGGGAUUCUUUUAGCAAAAUUAGCUGCAGUUGUGUUCCUGGUCAGUGAGGAACGCUCCGAGAAGCCAGUGUGGAGGGCCUUGUGCCAGGGAGCUUGCAUCGGGUGAGUCCAGCUGUUUCCCAUGUGUGCCAGCACAGAGUAUGAACGCUACAGCAUCCGUAGAGCAGGAGGGGAUGGAAUCUCCUGGCUGUAUCUACCUACUCCUGACGAGAGGAACCGAGGGAGCCAGGUGGGGCACAGAGAGCCCUGUUUGGUUCCAGGGGGUUAUUUCCCUGGUUUCCUUUCCCCCUCACUUCCCGUCCCUGAGAUAUUCUCUAGCGCAUGUGACAGAUGGAGCCCGCCUUAGCUGAAAACUUUCUGCUUCUCCCGCUUCACAUCUGCAGUUAGCCUCUUCCGGUUGUUCACUGGACUUCUGUGCUGCUCCCUGGGUGUGCUGGGGAAAGCCCCUAGCCAAGCAUCCUCCAUACGCGGAGCCUGCCGGGUUCAUGGUCAGGCCGUGGGGGAUCUUCACUUUUCUUUGGAAUUCCAUUCGUUUUCGUACUGGGCCCCUGCUCGCAAGACAGCAGCUACUCAGACCGGGACAGAAAUAGCUUUGUCUCUCCAACAGCCCAGCUGCCGCUGAUGUGCUGCCAGCUAAUGGCCUUCGCCCCAGCCCUCAGCUUAGUGCAAUUUCACAGCGUUCUCCUAACCCUAGUGUUACCCAUUUCCUUCCUCCGCUUCUUCCGGCACACUCCUGCCCAGUAGCUCUAACACCUUUAGCUCUGAUGGGCUGGCCAGCUCCUCGGCUCGGUCACUUCGGGCCCGUCUGCACCGCCUGUGGCAGCGAGCCUCCCAGACCGAGUCAACAGGCUCAGACUGGUGGCGCUGGGCUGCUGUGUGCAGAGGUUGCGGCGCGGCCUGGGGCUCAGGCUCUGAGGGCCAGGAAGCGGGGUGGGCUUCGGAACCCGAGCUCCACCCUGAGACGUCCCACCAAAGCCCUGGCUAGACAGCGAGCGCCAGUGUGAUCCCUGCAAACCCACGCUGCUGCGGGCAGUGCAGACAGACCCGAACAGCCUGACUCUCGCCAGCCCUGGAGCUGUGGGCGUGACACCCUCCUAGCUGGUGUGCGUGAGGGGAGCGCGUAGCUGCGUUCUGCACAGGGGCACGUGGCAGCAGGAGGGGCCGAGCGCUCUCCUAGGCCAGGACGGUGCUAGGGGCUGUGUUUGCAAAGUGCUUUAUUCUCCAGUUCGGUUAUUUAGGGUGACACAGGCCAGUUCUAGCCUCAGAAUAGUGAACCAACAACAUUCCAAAUCCUGGCCUGAUAGACACUGCAGAGCCCAAAGGCGUCUCCUCCCUACAGCUACUAGGAGCUGCCCCUGGCCUAUGACAGCAGCGUGGGCUAAAUUCCAAGGAGGCGCAUCCUCCGCCAUCAAGUGGGACUAACUGGUGUGUUGUGCAUGUAUAUUACCGUGCUAAGUUAUUAACAUACUAAUCCAGGAGGAUCUCCCUGCUCUCACGGACUCUGCCCCCCAGCCAGGCCUGCUAUUGACGCUGGAAUGUUGAGUAAGUCACUUGCGAAUGAACUAACCCACUAACUGGCUGUAACGCAUGCUUUACUAACCCGUCUUGUUUCAUCUCCUACUAACCGGGGACAGCACACAUUGCCUUUAAAGGGAACGGAAAAGCUUGGGUAAGUACGUCUGCAAAGAAGUCAUUCAAGUUGCCGUCCCAGGAACAGAAUCUAUGUGCAGUGUCAAACAUUACAAACACAGCGAGGGAAUGUGUGGGGAGCGGCUCCUCCAGGUACCUGGCAGGGCCUGAGUGCAGGAUUCUGUCUUUCCCCAGCAACAUGGGGUAGCGCUCCAGAAACACCAGAAAGCGGAGGUUUGCCGCACUCUCUGCUCUGCUGUCAGUGCUAGAACUCUCCCAACACCCGCAGAGGAAAGACAGACUCUGCUUUGCCGGUCUUGGGAGGUAACUAGAGGAAGGGCUGAUUUUCCAGUGGUGUUUCUGUCUGUAAUGCUGAAGUCUGCAUGUGGAUUCUGCUGUUGACUAGGGAUCCUAGACUGGGUUUAUUGACAAAAGCUUUUCAGUUCCUUUUUAAGUCACUAGAUCUCUCUCUCCUGUUACUAACACAUUUCCAAACGGAAUUACACAAACUAACCUUUGCUGCUCUUCUCUCCAUUUAUCUUUCCUAGUCUGUAUGUUCUGUUCCUGAACUAAGAUGCACUCUCUGGUUAUGACAUGUGGCUCUUUAUUAACUGCUUGUACUAAUCUCUUCUUAGUUGGUUCUAGAUGCUACUAACAUACACUCUUUGGCUCCUUAACUUUCUGAUGCUAUUCACCAUGACGAAUGAACGAACAGGCUUUCCCCCACCCCUGUAACAGACCCCUGUUAAUGCAACCUCCUCUAUUAUUCCACUGGCCUUUUUUUCAAUGCAGCUGAACAUCUUUAACUCCCAUUAAGUGCAAUGAGAAAGGAAGAUGCUCCAGGAGUUUUGAAAAUUAGGCCACUGGUCUUCAGUUUUUCAAUCAACUUUAUGAGGCUAAGAGACAACAAUGCCAUUCACAGGCUUUAUAAAACUGCUCGAAGUGGCAUGUCCCACAGACUGGUCAGUCACUUGGUAAUUUGUAUUUGCCAGAAGGUCCGGUGAAGCGAGUUUGCAGAGAGACCUUGUUAAAAAGCAAUUAAGAAACUGCAGUCCCACCUGCACUCCAGACUCUUGAAUUGCUUGGAAUGCUGGUUCAUCUGUCAUUGGGAAUGGCCUUCACAUCAGCCUGAGUGCCUCUGUUACUCCUGAGCUUUGGGACGGACAUGGGGCGUUUUCAGCUCGUGCCGGUCCAGGACUCAGUUUCCUUGUAUCUCCACGGUUUCCCUUUGGCACUGAUGCAUGUGGAAAGCAGUUGCCAAUCUUGAGCGCCCAACUGCCAGGAGCCGAGUGGCUGAACCUACUUGGUUGAUUGGCACUUGUUGUAUUCACUAACCCGAGAGGAUGGGAGGUGAGGGGCAGGGAGAGGAACAGGCAUGUCGUCUAGAGGGAAAUCUGCUGUCCAGGCGUUUAACAUACUUUAUGAUGCGCUAACACAGGGCCUAGGUGCGAGGUCUCUGUUCAGCUUUCACUCCGCCUGGAUGGGCUGCAUUCCCAUUGCCUUCUCUGGGAGCUUGCCAGAGUGAAGGCGACAGGGUUUGGCCCGUCCACUGUGCCUUUGGCAUGCAAACCGGGAAUAUCCGCGAGCUAACCAGCAUCCCCUCGGGGGGCCUGCAGUGCUUAUUAACAGGACUAACCUAGCCCCUGCAUGGAUGGAGAGGAAUGCUGGUUGCUGUCCUUUUAACUGCACUUAACUACUGAGGGCAAAGGCCUGAUUCCUAAAUCAGUCAGUGAUAACAGAGGGAGUGGGAACUUGACGCCCUUAACCACCCCAAAGGCUAUGCAUGAAGCCAGGCAGUGGGUCCCUCCUGCACUGCUCCGGGGGGAGAAAGGUGCCAAGCCAACAGACCGUGGCUGCUAACAGGAGAGGAGACCUGGGUAGCAGGAGAGGCAGGAGGCUGCGAGCCAGGACAUGGCUGCUCAGAGCUGGGGCGGCGGCGAUAAUGUAACGUGUGUGUGUGUGUGUGUGUCUGGCAUCAUCGUGAGAUGUUCCCUGGAGAGUCGUGCAUGGGCGGGGGAGCAAAGGGAGGUGCCUCGGUUCAGAUGUGGAGAUCGCAGUGACUCAAGGGCAGUGUGGGGCACUCCAUAGAGAAGGGGCAGCACAAGUGACAGGGGAGCAGAGCCAGUGGGCAGAGCUCAGAGAGCUCGGGGGGAAGAUGGCAGGUGUGAGAGGAGGGCACAGUGAGAACAGGGAGGGGGUGCAGGCAGAGAGGAGAACAGCGCCAGUCCAUAGGCAGAGCGGGACCAGACGCAGCAUGUUACUGGGUUACCGAGCACCCCUGUCCCCAGUCCCCCCGCUGUCAGCUCCACUGACAUUCCUGGGGUGAGUUUGCCUGGUCUGUGCAUCAGCGUGGCCGAGGGCUACACACGAGAACCUCUCCUUGAACUGCCCCCACUCGGGGGCAGCCUGGCUGUGACCCUCAGGCGAGCAGAACUCCCGGGAGGAGAGAGUCUGCCUAGACAGACAGACAGACAGGUGCUUGCUCUCCGGGGGUGAGCAGCUCUGCCCAAGUGCUUUAUGGAUCUGGCCUGUAACUGAUGGGAACCUCUCUCGCUCCUGAGACGCUCUGGUGCUAACUCCCUUUCCCUGGCUGGCUUGCUGCCUAACUACUAACAGCUGUUCUGCUUUGCCUUGAGACGUGUAGCUGGAGAAGGACCCACAGCGCGACUCGGUCUUUAUGCCAAUUUAUUGCCUGUUUCUGUAGCAGACCCCCCCACCUUUAACCCCCGUGUGUUUCUGUACUAACCACCGCGACCUGUUCCUUUCAGGCUGAUAUUAACGGCUUGCUGGGGAUCUCGCCGCUAACCUGGCUGCCUCCUCUCGAUUAUCUCUCCGGGUCCGUGUCUGGCCGUGAUGUGGCUGGUGUAUUUUCACCUAACACACUAACUAGUCGGGAGGCUGCCCAGCCCUGACUGCUCCCUGCUUUAUUAACAUACUAAAACCUCUCUCAGGGCUGGGCUCAGAAUGGGUUUGGGGUCCGUUGUUCCAUGUGCCUCCUUGGAGAGUGGGGCUGUGAUGCACCCCCAGAUCAAGGAGCGAGCACGACUUGCCCUUUCGGGGGAUACUGCAAGGGGUAGAGUACCUACCUGCUGUGGAUCAGAGCGACCAGCGAUGCAGGUUUGCCCAGCAGAUCAGGGAAGGGGCUGGUGGAAAGCAGCGCUGGGAUGGGGCCCUCCAGGGGCAGGAGGGCAUGCGGGCUCGGCCAGGACACAGCGAGGUGGGCUCCGAUCAUGGGGAAGCCGAGCUAGGGUAAGUCGGGGUGAUCUGGCACAAGGCCUGACAGAAGAAGUGAAACCUUCCUGUUUUGGAGGUGAGCGAGAAUCUGCCCAGGAUAAUGUAGCAACCGGGGAACCAGCAUUUCAGCCUUGGUGUUGUUCUAAGCGUGCCCAUGCCCCAGCCCGGGAGCUGCAGCUCUUCCAGGCCACCCCUCGCUGUUGUUUUAUGGUGUCUUUCACAGUCUUCAGUGACCUGCGCCUCCCGCGCUGCUCACGAGCUAACCAGUCCGCCAGGCAGCAGGUGCUACAAGGCUGGAUUUGCUCAUCCCAGGAGAUGUGUGGAACACGGGAGCCCAAAAGGCCAAACCCGUGUCUGUGCCAACCUCUGCAGGACUCGGCAUUUGGAAACGUCCCGGACUUUCUCUGGGUCCUCUGCUCUUCUGGGCUGUUGGCUUGCACAGGCUGGAACCCUGGGGCCUGAGGGUGGGAGCUGCUGGGAAGGCUGCAGACUCCACCUGCUAGUCUGAAAUAUGCUCCCGUCUGCACGGCUGGCUGCUCGGCCGCCAAGGGCAGCGAUGCAGGGCGGGGACAGGGAGCACAUGGAGGGCAGCUUUGCUCGGCCGGCUCUGUCGCUCUGCUCCUUGUCACUGCGCACGUUCCCUGCUCGGCGCCCAGGUGCCCUUUGGGUUCAGGUGGCUUCCAGUCUCUGGCUGGGCAGGGGCAGCGACUCCAGGGGCCCAGCGUGGCAAGGGAACAUGGGGGUCACCAGCAGCCGCCUGCUCCAGACCCAGCUCCUGUCGUGCAUUGCGCUGCUUCUCGGCCCCCAGGCAGGCAGCGAUCCCCCUUAGCGGGUCACAAAGCUGGGGUCCCCCAUUUCCCUGCAGGGGCUGUGGGGCUCUAGCCUGCUGGGCUCGACAUGGAUUUCCAGGGAGACCGGAGAGCUGGGGGAUGUGGGGAUGAGGGCGUGAGCGGCCUCUGGCAUGAUGCUGGGCAGCGCGUGGAGGGAGCUGAGGGGAGAGCUGGACUGGCGUAUGAGGAGAGGUUAAAGGGGGGGAUGGCAGGAGCCCCCAGGAGUUGGCCCUGCGAGCGGGGAGGGAGGGGAUGAUCUAGGGGGCCCAGGGGAGCAUGUAGGAACCCGGAGAUGAGGGACAGGAGAGCUGGGGCAGGCAGCAGCGCCGGCUGGGGCAGGCCUUCCUCAGGACGGGCUAGCUGGCCUCACAGCACUUCCAGCUCGAGCGUCGGGGAGCGGGGAUCUCCCAGCGUACCGAGGCUGGCCGGUUUUCAGUCCAAGGCGGGGUCACUCUGGCGAGCGAUGGCAGACCCCCAGGAGUCCCCUCCUCCUGUUCUCUGGGCCUCAGCCUGCGUCGGUGCGCCACGUCGUGCGGCCAGCGCGGGACUCAGCAGGACGCUGCCGCACACACUCACUGCCCUCGGGGGCACUUGGGCCAGGUAACGCUGGCUGCUGAGGGAGGCGGGGACCAGCCUAGAAGGGCCAUUUGUGUGCGGCAAGUCCUGUGUUCCUAGGUACAGGAGAGUCACAGCAGGACUGCUCCUCUCCCCGGCCCUGCAUAGAUUCAUAGAUUCAUAGAUUCUAGGACUGGAAGGGACCUCGAGAGGUCAUCGAGUCCAGUCCCCUGCCCGCAUGGCAGGACCAAAUACUGCCUAGACCAUCCCUAAUAGACAUUUAUCUAACCUACUCUUAAAUAUCUCCAGAGACGGAGAUUCCACAACCUCCCUAGGCAAUUUGUUCCAGUGUUUAACCACCCUGACAGUUAGGAACUUUUUCCUAAUGUCCAAUCUAGACCUCCCUUGCUGCAGUUUAAACCCAUUGUUUCUGGUUCUAUCCAGAGAGGCUAAGGUGAACAAGUUCUCUCCCUCCUCCUUAUGACACCCUUUUAUAUACCUGAAAACUGCUAUCAUGUCCCCUCUCAGUCUUCUCUUUUCCAAACUAAACAAACCCAAUUCUUUCAGCCUUCCUUCAUAGGUCAUGUUCUCAAGACCUUUAAUCAUUCUUGUUGCUCUUCUUUGGACCCUUUCCAGUUUCUCCACAUCUUUUUUAAAAUGCGGCGCCCAGAACUGGACACAAUACUCCAGCUGAGGCCUAACCAGAGCAGAGUAGAGCGGAAGAAUGACUUCUCGUGUCUUGCUCACAACACACCUGUUAAUGCAUCCCAGA